UACAGAGGUGGCAAGCGUUGUUCGGAAUUACUGGGCGUAAAGGGUGCGUAGGUGGCGGGGUAAGUCAGGUGUGAAAUCUCGGGGCUCAACCCCGAAACUGCACUUGAUACUGCCUUGCUCGAGUACUGGAGAGGAGAUUGGAAUUUACGGUGUAGCAGUGAAAUGCGUAGAUAUCGUAAGGAAGACCAGUGGCGAAGGCGAAUCUCUGGACAGUUACUGACACUGAGGCACGAAGGCCAGGGGAGCAAACGGG
rnacentral:rRNA from 1 species